CAUCCUUAGCAUCUAUAACUCAUAAUUCUGAUUACCUGAAACCCAAAGUCUAGCAUCUUUCCUAAAUAUUUUACAACCCACUAUUUAUUUAGUUACUGUUUUAUUUACUACUUUUCUAUUUACUGUUUAGCUUAACUUUGAUUUCUAUUAAUUUAUUAUGUGUCCAUACUUUCUUUGGAUUCAUCCCUAAGUACUACGGUUCGAUAUUUUAUUUGAGAGAGAAGAUAGCUCUAAGGUAAUUUGAGCUAGCAUCAUUAAGGUUUAUGGUCCAAUAGGUUGUAGUCCUUGCUCUAUUGAUAAAUAAAUAAAUUACUUUAAUCUUUAGUCCUACUUUUUUUUUUUUUUUUUUGAAACACUUCAUAAUUACUUUAAUCUUUAGUCCUACUUAUUAUUGCAAAUUUCAUGUUUUCUGAUACCAACAAAAGGCUGCACAAAAUUACCCUAUCACACUUAGCAAAAAAAAAAGUUUAUGAAUACACAUCUUCAUGCAGACGGCAAUAAAAUAGAUUAUAAACUCAGUAUGUCUCUAUCUUAUUUAGUAUUUUCGUAUUUACAAAAUUUGAGUGUAUAUAUAGAGAGUUCAGAAUUGUCCAGUUGAAGUCUCGCUGACGGAAUUGUGGUACGAAGGAGUACCGGCAUAAUUGGUUUAUAUAUUUGUCAGGGACUGCACCCGUGUAUGGGAUUAAAUGAGAUUAAGAAAUAUUCAAAUUAACAGCUUAUUCAUAAUUAGUCAAUUAGAUAUGUCAUGGAAUUUUCUUGUUUCUUUUAAAUAAAUUUAUCAAAGAAUUCUGGAUCGAAUAGAGAAACUAUCUUCCUCCCAAGCGGAAAUCAAACAAACUAAGUGGCUUAAAAACAUACAAUUUGUAGGGAUCCAAAAGUCUGCUACUCUCUCACAUGUUACAUCUCAAACAUACACCAUAAGUAAAUUAUAUACCAGAGCUUUUUUUUUGGUCAAUUUAUAUACCACGUGCUCUAGACAUAUAUUUAUAUGUUUUCUUGUAUAUAUGCUUUAUACUUUUCAACAUAAAAUAUAUACUUAAAUACUUACGUUAAGAAUAUAGAGAGAUUGUUUUACAAAAAAAAAAAAAAAAAAAAAGAAUAUAGAGAGAUUUAGAGAUGGAGUGUGGUCCAGUUUGAGUCUAUCGCUGACCGACUUGUAAGAGAGAACAGUCGUGUGUGAAGAGAGAGAGAUUCCCUCUUUGCCAGCUUUCUUUUUGGUCGUAUCCUACAGGACUAUUUGCUACAGCCCAAAAGCUUACUAUCAAAAUAAUAAAAACAAAAUUAUAUUUAUUAGAAAUUGUACCGACGCCCCC
rnacentral:lncRNA from 1 species